UACGUAGGGUGCGAGCGUUGUCCGGAAUUAUUGGGCGUAAAGAGCUUGUAGGCGGUUUGUCGCGUCUGCCGUGAAAAUCCGGGGCUCAACCCCGGACUUGCGGUGGGUACGGGCAGACUAGAGUGUGGUAGGGGAGACUGGAAUUCCUGGUGUAGCGGUGAAAUGCGCAGAUAUCGGGAGGAACACCGAUGGCGAAGGCAGGUCUCUGGGCCACUACUGACGCUGAGAAGCGAAAGCGUGGGGAGCGAACAGG
rnacentral:rRNA from 1 species